rnacentral:rRNA from 1 species
AUUGAACGCUGGCGGCAUGCCUUACACAUGCAAGUCGAACGGUAACAGGUCUUCGGAUGCUGACGAGUGGCGAACGGGUGAGUAAUACAUCGGAACGUGCCCGAUCGUGGGGGAUAACGAAGCGAAAGCUUUGCUAAUACCGCAUACGAUCUACGGAUGAAAGCAGGGGACCGCAAGGCCUUGCGCGAACGGAGCGGACGAUGGCAGAUUAGGUAGUUGGUGGGAUAAAAGCUUACCAAGCCGACGAUCUGUAGCUGGUCUGAGAGGACGACCAGCCACACUGGGACUGAGACACGGCCCAGACUCCUACGGGAGGCAGCAGUGGGGAAUUUUGGACAAUGGGCGAAAGCCUGAUCCAGCCAUGCCGCGUGCAGGAUGAAGGCCUUCGGGUUGUAAACUGCUUUUGUACGGAACGAAAAGACUCUGGUUAAUACCUGGGGUCCAUGACGGUACCGUAAGAAUAAGCACCGGCUAACUACGUGCCAGCAGCCGCGGUAACAC